rnacentral:rRNA from 1 species
UAGGCUGAAACUACGCCUACAUGAAGCUGGAGUUGCUAGUAAUCGCGAAUCAGCAUGUCGCGGUGAAUACGUUCCCGGGCCUUGUACACACCGCCCGUCACACCAUGAGAGUUGGCAAUACCCAACGUACGUGAUCCAACCCGCAAGGGAGGAAGCGUCCUAAGGUAGGGUCAGCGAUUGGGGUGAAGUCGUAACAAGGUACC